rnacentral:lncRNA from 1 species
CCCAACAAUUCUUUCCUCGCUGGAAGAAAGGCAGCCGCCACUAGGCUCGCCCCAGUCUCGGAACGAGGACUUGUUCAAGAAUCUGAUGUCUAAGUUUCCCACUGGAGAGGCCUGGAGGUUUGGAAUUUCACGAUUUCUGCGAAAAGAAAAAAUCGAUCCGAUUUAUCAGAUGAUCCUAUGCAUUGCAGCGCAGCUGGAGCGCUGCAGAAAAUCCUCCUGACUCAUUUUUUCGUCUCUGGCAAAAGGAAAGGGCUCCAAAAGAACUGGAUGCGUUUGCGGGGGAACAGGUUGGCUUUGCCAGUUCGGAGCGUGGUGGCUUGAACGGGGGACAGGAGGGGAGGUGACAAUAAACUCUAAGGAGAAAACUGUGAGGGCAAAGCCACGCCGGUGUGUCAGGAGGGAGCAGGAGAAAAAAAUGGCCAAGGACAAAGACAAGCUGCUUAUGCCUGGAAAUAAUUAUGCUCCGGAGAAGACAACUGAAUUCCAUAUUACCUUGGUCAGUGUCUGCAGUUGGGGGAGGUGUUUGGGUUGGGUUUACUUUUUGGAUCUUAGCAACAUAAAUUUGUUGUCACUGAACUAUUAAAUACAGUGGACACAUGUUGGCAAAGAGGAUCCUGAGAAUCAUGGAACUGAUUACGGGACAGCCUAUGAAAUAAUCACUUAAAUGGGCCCACUGCACGAUUUUAAUAUCCCAUGACAACACUCAAUUGUCAAAUUCAGCUAGAGUGUCCAGGAUGCUACUAAAAUUAAGCCAGAAAUUCCUAGAUUUAUUCUCGCGUGCACGCUCUCUCUUUCCCUUUAGUUAAGGACAGGAAAUGCCAGGAAGCUGUGAGAAUCGAAGCAAGAAAGAAGAAACUGGGAAGGAAAAAGGAUGGUCUAGCAUUUUAUGAGAUUUCUGCCAUUAAAUCUAUAACAAAUGUCUUUCACCUACCCUCGAUAAAGAGGCAAUGUGGGAUUUUAAUUGGACUUUUGGCUUUUCUUCAUUUGAUUUAAACCAAGGUAGAAUUUCAAACAAUAACACGGGAACACCUGGUUAACACGUUAGGUGAUACGCACAGUUGUAAAUUGUGGUUUUAAUAGUUGCUCACUGGGGGAUUUCAAAGGGUCUCGUUGUUCUGUUUGGCAGAUAUUUUAAAAAAUCACCAACGACUGGGAUUUAAAAGCCCUGCACAUGAUUUCAGUGCAACUCCGAUCAUGAAAUUUAAUCACUUGACCCCACUUGUGGCCCUUUGUCCGGGGGUGACUCACGCGCACUCUGCGAGUUCUUCCAAAUUGUCGUCCAGCUUCAAGUCCAGAGAAAUCUGAUAACCUCGUCUCUCUAAGCAAACAGGGGAGAGCUUGGCGUGGAAGCCCCGGUCAAGCCGUGGGGACAGAGUGGCUGUGUAGUCUCCUAUCUACCCGCGCAGGGUCGCGUGUUGCUGCGGCCUGGACCGUGUGUGGACGUUUGGCUGGACGGUUAUGUCUCUUUUUGGAAGACAAACCUGCGUCCCGAGCACAGGCUCCCGACAACACUGCACGUUCCCCCCAGCUCCUUCCUGGGCAGCAGGAGGCCCUGCCCGGAAGCCGAGCAGCGGGGUGACCCCAUAUUUUAAAGUGACAGCUUUCCAGAGGCCUGCCCGCGCUUGCCUUCUGCCCUCCCCUCCCAGCUGCG